UACAGAGGUCCCAAGCGUUUGUUCGGAUUCACUGGGCGUAAAGGGUGCGUAGGUGGCAAGGUAAGUUUGAUGUGAAAUCUUCGAGCUCAACUCGGAAACUGCAUUGAAUACUAUCUUGCUUGAGGAUUGGAGGGGAGGCUGGAAUUCUCGGUGUAGCAGUGAAAUGCGUAGAUAUCGAGAGGAACACCAGUGGCGAAGGCAGCUCGCUGGGACGGUACUGACGCUGAGACGCGAAAGCGUGGGGAGCAAACAGG
rnacentral:rRNA from 1 species